rnacentral:misc_RNA from 1 species
GGGGGUUUGGGUAGAGAGAAUUAGAUGCGGGCGAGGUUGAAAUUGAUCGUGUUCUGUAGCGAAACCGGCUUCGGCUGAGAUUUUGGGCGGUGGGGGUUGGGUUGUGAUAUUCCCAGAUGAGGUUCCACUGUUUGUUGUUUACUUUCUGAAGAUUCAGAUUGACUUGCUGGUCGAUUUAUGGUAUUUCUGUAGUGAUAAGAAAGUUUGUGCAAAAAAGGUUGUUCUGCAGUCGUUGUUGCCUUCUUCGAAGAUACUUUGGUGCUUCAAAUUUGUCGGUCAAUUUCUUUUUGUUUGUUGGAUCUCACUGAAAUGAGGCUUUCAACUGCUGGUUUUAGUCCUCAGGCCCCGGAAGG